AAAGACAGAACAUCCAUAGUGUGUUUGAUAAGCUGACAUGGGACAGGAGUUCUUUUUUCGCUGUUGUGUCAGUUUAUCAAACCCAUACGUGGAUAUC
rnacentral:pre_miRNA from 1 species